UUUCCACUUUUACUUGUGUUUAAAAGCUUUUCGCUCUAUUUUACCCCUCUAGGGUUUCCCACAAGUUCACCGUCCUACUCAUCUCCUUUCUCUCAGAUCUUAUUUCCCCGCUUUUCCCUUGUUAAAGCUUUCAAUCUCCCACUCCACUUUCACCUAAACCCUAAACCCUAAACCCUAAAACUCCAGACUGGCUAUGCAACCCGUGACUGCUGAAUGCCAAACACAGGACACCGCGGAAUUACUGCGAAACUUCCCACGCACGGACAAAACAAAUGACGAAUUAUUCGCGUGGCCCCCACUUCAAUUACCUAAGCCUCCCGUGCACCAAAACUAUGGGCAAAACUGUAGGCCCCGCCGCAAAAUCAAAACUGCCUCGCUGCUUCCUCCGAAGAAACGACGAAAUUGCGGACCCCGCCAAUUUAACGUCUUGCAGGAUCCUUCCUCCUCCUACAUUUGGCCACUCCUUCCCACUUCGCUUAUAAAAGAAACCAUUCGAUGCAUCAAAGGGACACGACAUGAGACGAAAAAAAAAAGGGAACAUUAGAUAACACACCCACCUGAGAUAGAGAAAGAAGAAGCGCAUUAAGGAAGAUCCAUUCGUCGCCAAGAAAAAAAGAGAAUUACAUAGGAGAGCAUCCUACCUCCACAAAUAUCCUCUUAAUGGCCUUUCUUUUCCUUCCUUUUUUGUAAAUAUUUCCUACCGCAACUAUACCCUGAAAUAAGGAGUCUGUAUAAAAGGAGUCUUUCUUUUUCCCUCGGGCAGUCCCGGAAGGAAAACCUUCUAACUUUGUGAUGUAAGUUUUAUCUUUUGUUAUAUUGUAUUUCUCGAACUCUUGUAUCCAUGGCAUUUUCUUUGCUCCAUGAAACCCUUUUCUUGAACUCUUCAUGAAAUUUCCUGAUAUCUUUAUGAUAAAUAUUUCAUCCUGAGCAAGUGUGAAGCAUAUACGCUUGGCAGAUUUGAUAAAAGAAAUGCUCUGUAAAUUUCGCCAUUGAUAGCCAGAGAGGGCUUUGCGGCGUAGGAGCGGGGUUCUCUAAAAACUGUACGCCAUGAGGGUCUUGUGCACCGACACUAUGUCUCAAGUGAUAUUACCAUAAAAGACAUAUGAUUUCAUCCUAAGUCCAGGUUUAGGUUACCUGCAUCAUAGAUAAAGAGUUUUAGAAAUAUAAAAACAACCGAAAAAAUUUUAUCGUGAUUCCUAGAAGGGAGUACCAAACGGGACUUACACCAAAAAAUUUGGAAAAAUCCAUAUUUCAGUGUGUAGUUGCGGUAGAAAAUAUUUACAGAAAAGGAAGGAAAAGAAAAGCCAUUAAGAGGAUAUUUGUGGAGGUAGGAUGCUCUCCUAUGUAAUUCUCUCUUUUUUUUGGCGACGAAUGGAUCUUCCUUAAUGCGCUUCUUCUUUCUCUAUCUCAGGUGGGUGUGUUAUCUAAUGUUUCUUUUUUUCUUUCAUCUCAUGUCGUGUCCCUUUGAUAUGUCGAAUGGUUUCUUUUAUAGGCGAAGUGGGAAGGAGUGGCCAAAUGCAGGAGGAGGAAGGAUCCUGCAAGACGUUAAAUUGGUGGGGUCCGCAAUUUCGUCGUUUCUUCGGAGGAAGCAGCGAGGCGGUUUUGAUUUUGCGGCGGGGCCUACAGUUUUGCCCAUGGUUUUGGUGCAUGGGAGGCUUAGGUAAUUGAAGUGGGGGCCACGCGAAUAAUCCGUCAUUUGUUUUGUUCGUGCGUGGGAAGCUUUGCAGUAAUUCCGCGGUGUCCUGUGUUUGGCAUUCAGCAGUCACGGGUUACCAUUGUCAGAUGUUUCUUGAAUACCUUAGAUUUUGGAUGGUAGUGGACCUCUUCUGAUGUAGAGAACGCCGGUUUUUGAUGAUGGUGGAGUUGGACAAGAGGGUGUUCAAUCAUGAUGGAGUUGGAUCAGAAGGAAAGGGUCGUUGCCGGAGGUAUAGUAAUCUAUAAAGUCGGCAAAUAUUAUACUUGGAACGACGACUUCUGUGUAGGAAGCAUCUCGGCACCGACUUUAAUAAGUAUCUUAUCUCCAAAAACAGGGAUCAUGUGGCCAAUGAGAGGCCACAAAAACCCCGCGAAUCGAAAACGCGGGAAUCGUCGCCCCCACCCCCUCUCUCUCUCUCCCUCUCUCUCUCUCUCUCAUGGCGACUCUUCUCCUCUCUCCGCCCACCACCACCGCGCUCUUCUCCCCCAAAACCCUAACCCUAGCGACCAGAACCGCCCCCGCCCCUCCAUCUCGAUCCAUUCGGGUCAACGCCGCAGCGAGCUCCGCCGAGCCGGAGAAGGCGGCGGCGGUGUCGCCCGCCCAGGGAGGCGGCGAUGGUGACGCUGCGGCGGCGGAGGCGCCGCCUCCUUCCUCCGGCUCCGCCGUCUUGCGGCCGAAGAAGCCGGUGUACUCUAGUGAGUUCUCUUUCACGCUCUACAAGUGUUUGAUGUAAUGUCGCAGUGGGGAUUACAAUUAUGGUAGAAAUGUAUGGAGCUUCGAACCCCCUUCACUAUAAGCCAUUCCAAAAUAGACCCUCAAUUAUAUAUAUUUUUAUUUUUUUAUUCUUUGGUUCACACCUCUUUAAUUUUGAAUCCUUUUGAUUCAAGUAGUUUACGCCAUUCGAGCCACAAAUAUAUGACUAUUAGCUAUCAGGUGUCGCAGUCGACAUUUUUAUUAGUGAAAAAAAUUAUAAAAUCAUUAAAUAUAACAAAAAUUUUCAACAAAUUCCCCAAUUACCUGAUGUGGAUCAUCUAAUUCAAACCAAUUGAAAGUUGACCUGGAUUUUGAUUUUAUCCGCAAAGUUUAUUUGAAACAAUUUAGUUCCUGAAGUUUGAUUCCAAUCUCGAUUUCAUAUAUAGAGUUUGAAUAUUGUUAAUUUAGUUCGUAAAGCUUGACCCUGAAUUUGAUUUUGUCAUAGAAGUUUUGUUUUUAACAAUAAAGGUGUAAAAUUUUGACCCGGAUAUCAAUUUUAGUUCGGAGUUUCAACUGCGACAAUUUGGUCCAUGAAGUUUGCCCCUGAUCGUGAUUUUGUUCUCGGAGUUUCCAUAUUGACAAUUUAGUCGAUAAAUAUUGAUAACAAUUUCAACUUCAUCCUUGAUUGUUUUUUAAUUUAUUUUAACAAUGCAAAGUGUGACAAAUUCCUAUUAAGGCUUAAGCAAUGUCUACUAUGGGUGUUUAUUAUUUUGCCUUGUGAUUAUUCAGUUACAUGAAAUCAUUUCAAGUUUUAUUACUUUUUUUUCCCUUCCGAAUGGGUAAAAGUAGAAAAAAGUUGCCCCGAAGUGCUUGCGUAAUGCCUUUUAUUUUAUUUAUUGUGGCCUAAACUUUUUAUAGUGUUAAAUUAUAUGAAACAGUUGUUUUUCUUCAAAAGCUUAAGCUAUCAGAGAAUAAUGUGUAUACAUUUCAUAUUCAACACUCUCCCUCACAUCUAGCCUCGAGGCAGAAAACUAAAUAAUGUUAGGAGUCUGAUGGAACUCGACCUCAAGACCUUAUGCGCUAAUACCAUGUUAAAUUAUAUGAAACAACCGUUUUUCUCCAAAAGCUUAAGCUACCGGAGAAUGAUGUUUUAUAUACUUUAUAUUCAACAUCUAGAAAUAAGCAUUUCCAAAAUUUCCUGCUUUCCAGUGAAGAAAGGGCAGAUUGUACGUGUGGACAAAGAGAAGUACCUAAACAGCAUCAAUGUGAGCUUGCUCUCCCUCAAUUUGCGUUUAAAUGAGUGUUGUUUAGGAUUCUUCAUGUUAGCUUUUCUUUGUUCAUGUGAUAUUUUAUAAGAUAUAUUGAGCAUGUUCCUUAGAAUGUAUAUUGUGGUGUAAAUUUUGUGCACAUAUUCUAAAUUUGUCUUCUGUCAUUUCAGUAUCUAUCCGUCGGCCAUCCACCUUUUUAUAAAGGGUUGGACUACAUAUAUGAAGACCGUGGCGAGGUAAUGACAAAUCUUUUGUACUUGAUUGCUUUCACAUACUUUUAAUCGUACAUCAGGUUGAAAUUACAUUACGUAGUACAUAUUUCUCUCUUUUAAGCCAGCUCUUUGCUAUCUUUUCUCUAGAAGAUUAAUUUUCACACCUCUACUUGCUGCUGUUUUUGCUGCUUGCUGAAUUGUUUGUUAUAUACUUCUAGGUUUUGGACAUACGAAUUUUCGAGACUGGGGAAUAUGCUCUUGUAAGUCAAUUCCUCUUAAUGUUUUGAAUUGAUUAUUUAUGUUGUAAUCUUAUACCAGCACUUUGUGUAUUUUGUAAAAAAAAAAAAAAAUUAGGUUUUUGUUGUUCCAGCUCUGGUUAUCAGAAUGUAAGAGUUACAUAAAUAAGCUGCAUAGGGAACAUCUCUUACUACAUUUAUUAGGAGUUAAUUAACUGCCGGAAAAGGUAAAAUGUUGAUAACCUUUUUCACUAAAUUUAUUGAGCAUGGUUCAAUUUUACUUGCAAGCGGAAAAUAAAAUCAGUAUAAUCAGUUUUUAUUUCUAAAAUCAAACCGAAAACGGAAUUCCAAAGUCUUUUCAUGUUAAAAACUGAAUCGAACCAAACUACUCAAUUAAACCCAAUUAACCAAAAUUGUUUUGAGUCUGGCAAUCUGGUAAACCAAAGUAAUAACACAACCCUCCCUGGUGGCAGUGGUGCAACUAAUUAGGUCAACUAGUAAACUUCGCUCCUAAUAGCUGGUUUAACUCUGUUAGGGAAGAGAAUUUAGAUACCUUUUCAUUUCAGAUUUUACCCUUUAUUAAC
rnacentral:lncRNA from 1 species